AAUCAACGCUGGCGGCGUGCCUCAGACAUGCAAGUCGAACGCGAAAGUCCCCCUCGGGGGGACAGGUAGAGUGGCGCACGGGUGAGUAACACGUAGGUAAUCUACCUUCGGGUGGGGAAUAACAAUCGGAAACGGUUGCUAAUACCGCAUAAUGCAGCGGCACCUAAUGGUGACAGUUGUUAAAGCGGGGGAUCGCAAGAUCUCGCGCCUGAAGAGGAGCCUGCGGCGGAUUAGCAGUUGGUAGGGUAAUGGCCUACCAAGGCGACGAUCCGUAGCCGGCCUGAGAGGGCGGUCGGCCACACUGACACUGACAUACGGGUCAGAC
rnacentral:rRNA from 1 species